UACUUUUUUGUGCCCUUGAGCUGUCUCCUUUGCUGUAAAAAAAAAAAAAAAAAAAAAAUGAAGAGUUUUAUCCUUGUAGUGACCAAUGGAUUAGGUGGCUCUGUAUCUCUUCAAACCUGGCUGUUAUGAUUAGCAUGGAUUUGGCCUUUCUCUGCCUCUGUGGUGGAUAGUGGAGUGUUUCCCAUGUGGUAUUGGUGUGCUGGAUAUCCCUUCACUGGUAGCCUGGUAACAUACACUCCCAGGUCUUUCUCUGCCUCUGUGGUGGAUAGUGGAGUGUUUCCCAUGUGGUAUUGGUGUGCUGGAUAUCCCUUCACUGGUAGCCUGGUAACAUACACUCCCAGGUCUUUCUCUGUGGUGGAUAGUGGAGUGUUUCCCAUGUGGUAUUGGUGUGCUGGUUAUCCCUUCACUGGUAGCCUGGUAACAUACACUCCCAGGUCUUUCUCUGUGGUGGAUAGUGGAGUGUUUCCCAUGUGGUAUUGGUGUGCUGGAUAUCCCUUCACUGGUAGCCUGGUAACAUACACUCCCAGGUCUUUGUCUGCCCCUGUGGUGGAUAGUGGAGUGCUUUCCAUGGGGUAUUGGUGUGCUGGGUAUCCCCUCCCAAGGUGCAAGACAUUAGAUUUUCCUUCAUUGAAUUGUAGCAGACACUUUUUGAUCCAUUGCUGUAGCUUGGAAAUGUUGUCUUGUAGGAAAUCUGCAGUCAAGGGGUUGAGUAUAUAGUGUUGGGCUUUGUGCUGUAGUACAUUAUAUCUAUCUAUCUAUGUGAGAGAGAGAGAGAGAGAGAGAGAGAGAGAGAGAGAGAGAGAGAGAGAGAGAGAGAGAGAGAGAGAGAGAGAGAUUUGUGACUGACUCUCUCAUGUUAUAAUAAUAUCUGUCUCAUACUAUAACAAUAUAACUCUUUCCUUAGGUAACUUACUUAAUUAAUAAUGUCUUGUGCUUUACCUGUCUAUUUGAGCAUGUGUGUGUGUGUGUGUGUGUGUGUGUGUGUGUGUAAGGCUGUCAGUUCUACUCUCUCUAAAUGUAUGUUUCUCUCUCUCUCUCUCUCUCUCUCUCUCUCCUACUUACUCUUCCUCCUCCGUUCAUCAAAUUUAUACCCAUUUCCUUCCUUCCUUUCCUCUCCUUCCUUAAAUCUCUCUCUUCCAUUUCAUUCCAUUAAUAAAAAUUUGUA